rnacentral:misc_RNA from 1 species
GUAAAAUUGCUAGUAAGCAGAUCUCUAAACUAAGGUGUUUAUGGGAAUUUAAUUCUGCAUUUGUCAAACUACCGCAAAAUUAGCAAAUAUUAAUAGUCCAUGGUCAAAAUCAUAAAAUGCAAAAGUUUAUGGAAAUUCCUAGAAUUCCUGGAUCCUUACUUGUUAUUAGGAGGGAAAAUAGAAAGAGAAUCACAGAAACUGCAAGAACUCAUUUCUGAGAUUUCACAAUUUUUGCCGUUUCUCUUGAUUGUAAUUAAUUGUCUUUAAUAACACACAAAAGAAAAGAAACGGCAAAAGCUUGGCUUCCAAGUUUCCCUGUGCUUGCUUCAAGAGAAAAUUCUUGGAAGAAAAUGGCUACUCUCAAAGUGCCAGAUGCUGUUCCUUCUCCAACUCAAGACUGUGAGAGACUCAGAAAUGCUGUUCAAGGACUAGGGACAGAUGAGAGGGCGAUUAUAUGGAUUUUAGGGCACAGAAAUGCAAGUCAAAGGAGGAAAAUCAGAGAAACCUAUCAGCAGCUUUACAAGGAAUCUCUCGUUGAUCGUCUCCAUUCUGAGCUGUCCGGAGAUUUUAGAAAAGCAGUAAUUUUGUGGACUUAUGACCCCCAAGAAAGGGAUGCAAAACUGGCAAAUGAAGCAUUGAAAUCUAAGAAGAAAGGCACAAAAGAACUGCAAGUGAUAGUCGAGAUAGCUUGUGCAAAUUCUCCUCACCAUCUACAGGCAGUAAGGCAGGCCUAUUGUUCUCUUUUUGAUUGCUCCUUUGAAGAAGCCAUUGCAUCUGAAGUCUCUUUGCCCAUUAGAAAGGUAAGGAAAUCCCACUCAUAUUCAGAUAACAUUGAAUUUUACUAUUUGAGUCUAUUCAUCCUCAGAGUUUAGAGGUGAUGGCAUGAAGCCAUGAACUCUAUGAGUUAAUAAGUUUUAUGUAAAUUACCAAGUGAAUAACUUUGAAAAAUAGGAAAGGAAAAAUUGACUUUAAGAUCUUAGUUAUGUAUGGUGGAUUCCAUUUUAAAAUGCUGGUCCUUGUUGUCUUAGAUGUGUGGUUUAGGCAUGAGCUUUUUGCAUUGGUUGAAAGAACUUUAUUAGGUUCUUAGGGGUUUUAUAGCACAUAAGUGAUGCUAAUGUUUGCAUUGCACAGCUCUUGGUGGGUUUAGUAAGCUCUUACAGGUAUGAUAAAGAACUGGUGGAUAUGAAUAUAGCCAGCUCAGAGGCAUCUAAAUUGCAUGAAGCUAUCAAG